rnacentral:rRNA from 1 species
GACGAACGCUGGCGGCGUGCCUAAUACAUGCAAGUCGAACGAGAGCGACCGGUGCUUGCACUGGUCAAUCUAGUGGCGAACGGGUGAGUAACACGUGGGUAACCUGCCCAUCAGAGGGGGAUAACAUCCGGAAACGGAUGCUAAAACCGCAUAGGUCUUCGAGCCGCAUGGCUUGAAGAGGAAAAGUGGCGCAAGCUUCUGCUGAUGGAUGGACCCGCGGUGCAUUAGCUAGUUGGUGAGGUAACGGCUCACCAAGGCCGUGAUGCAUAGCCGACCUGAGAGGGUGAUCGGCCACAUUGGGACUGAGACACGGCCCAAACUCCUACGGGAGGCAGCAGUAGGGAAUCUUCCGCAAUGGACGCAAGUCUGACGGAGCAACGCCGCGUGAGUGAAGAAGGUUUUCGGAUCGUAAAACUCUGUUGUUAGAGAAGAACAAGUGCUAGAGUAACUGUUAGCGCCUUGACGGUAUCUAACCAGAAAGCCACGGCUAACUACGUG